rnacentral:rRNA from 1 species
GUGGGGAAUAUUGCGCAAUGGGGGAAACCCUGACGCAGCGACGCCGCGUGGAGGAUGAAGGUCUUCGGGUUGUAAACUCCUUUUCUUGGGAAAGAUAAUGACGGUACCCAAGGAAUAAGCCACGGCUAACUCUGUGCCAGCAGCCGCGGUAAGACAGAGGUGGCGAGCGUUGUUCGGAAUUACUGGGCUUAAAGGGCGAGUAGGCGGUGGAGCAAGUCUGAGGUGGAAUCUUAGGGCUUAACCCUAAAACUGCCUUAGAAACUGUUUUACUUGAGUCAGUGAGGGGAGGGCGGAAUUCCUGGUGUAGCGGUGAAAUGCGUAGAUAUCAGGAGGAAGGCCUGUGGCGAAGGCGGCCCUCUGGCACUGUACUGACGCUGAGGCGCGAAAGCGUGGGGAGCAAACAGGAUUAGAUACCCCUGUAGUCC